rnacentral:tRNA from 1 species
GGUGUAACUCAGUGGUAGAAUGCUUGCCUAGAAUGCAUGAAGUCUGGGGUUUGAUCCCCAGCACC